CCCAAGAAGCUCUCCGACUUCCUCUGUGUACAAAACACCACUGCGCUUCCUGUGCGAUCAAGAGAGGCGGCAAAAGAGGCGGAGCAACACCAGCCCCUCACCAAUGGUAUUGCUCCGUCUCUCCGCCAACGCUCUGAUACUGGUGUAUAAAAGCACAAAGCGGAGGCGUCCACUGAUGAUACUCAUGCACGCCUCGCUUCUCACACCGGCUCAGCCAAACCUCGGCGACACUUAUAAAGGCCGAAACAGAAGAAAUAAGAAACGGAUUAUUAUUGUCAGCAUUGCUGAUAAAGACUUGAAGCUGCAAUGGAUGGACACGGUGAAGAUGCCACUCCGCUCUAUGUCCUGUAUGUGUGUUCCUGGUUUCGUUUCCAUGUCAUCUACCACCAGACUGACGGACUGGCUGUGAUACUUUAUGGUGACAGAGAGAAGCUUGCUGCGAUAUUCCUGCAGAGGAUGGUGAUGGAGUUCUUCAGGAACUGGAUUCACAGGCCUGAGUGACCAAGACCAUCAGUGACCUGUGUUUGCGCAGCCUCUGCAGGACUUUCAACACAGUCCUCUGGUGACGCCUGAAGAGCAGCUUGAAUCUACAACAAGAACUGCUUCAUUAUGACCGCCCACUAUACAGAGUGGACUUCAUAAUUCUCUCUGAUAUUGGGCCGCCGUUGCUUUGCUUGUUGGGAGGUGAAAAAAUUGUUAUGUCUAUUUGUUUAUUAGAUAAAUUUGGUCAAUAAACUUUGCUUAUGUGC